rnacentral:rRNA from 1 species
GAACGUUGGCGGCGUGGAUUAGGCAUGCAAGUCGAGCGAGAACCCCGCAAGGGGGGACAGCGGCGCAAGGGACAGUAAUGUGUAGAUCAUCUGCCCUCAGGCCCGGGAUAGCUGCGGGAAACUGCAGGUAAUACCGGAUAACAUCUCCGGAUCAAAGGUGUGAUUCCGCCUGAGGAUGAGUCUACAUCCUAUUAGCUAGUUGGUAGGGUAACGGCCUACCAAGGCGAUGAUGAGUAGCGGGUGUGAGAGCACGACCCGCGUCAUUGGGACUGAGACACUGCCCAGACACCUACGGGUGGCUGCAGUCGAGAAUCUUCGGCAAUGGACGCAAGUCUGACCGAGCGACGCCGCGUGUGGGAUGAAGGCCUUCGGGUUGUAAACCACUGUCAGAGGGGAUGAAAUGCAGGUGGGUUCUCCCAUCUGUUUGACAUAGCCUCAGAGGAAGGACGGGCUAAGUUCGUGCCAGCAGCCGCGGUAAGACGAACCGUCCGAACGUUAUUCGGAAUCACUGGGCUUAAAGGGUGCGUAGGCGGCGCGGAAAGUUGGGUGUGAAAUCCCUCGGCUCAACCGAGGAACUGCGCCCAAAACUACCGUGCUCGAGGGAGAUAGAGGUGAGCGGAACUUAGGGUGGAGCGGUGAAAUGCGUUGAU